AUUGAACGCUGGCGGCAGGCCUAACACAUGCAAGUCGAACGGUAGCACAGAGAGCUUGCUCCCGGGUGACGAGUGGCGGACGGGUGAGUAAUGUCUGGGAAACUGCCCGAUGGAGGGGGAUAACUACUGGAAACGGUAGCUAAUACCGCAUAACGUCGCAAGACCAAAGUGGGGGACCUUCGGGCCUCACACCAUCGGAUGUGCCCAGAUGGGAUUAGCUGGUAGGUGGGGUAAUGGCUCACCUAGGCGACGAUCCCUAGCUGGUCUGAGAGGAUGACCCGCCACACUGGAACUGAGACACGGUCCAGACUCCUACGGGAGGCAGAAGUGGGGAAUAUUGCACAAUGGGCGCAAGCCUGAUGCAGCCAUGCCGCGUGUAUGAAGAAGGCCUUCGGGUUGUAAAGUACUUUCAGCGGGGAGGAAGGCGGUGAAGUUAAUAACUUCACCGAUUGACGUUACCCGCAGAAGAAGCACCGGCUAACUCCGUGCCAGCCGCCGCCGUAA
rnacentral:rRNA from 1 species